rnacentral:rRNA from 1 species
UACGGAGGGUGCAAGCGUUGUUCGGAAUUACUGGGCGUAAAGGGCGUGUAGGUGGUUAACUAAGUCAGGUGUGAAAGCCCUCAGCUCAACUGAGGAAGCGCAUCUGAAACUGGUUAACUUGAGUACGGGAGAGGAGAGUGGAAUUCCUGGUGUAGAGGUGAAAUUCGUAGAUAUCAGGAGGAACAUCGGUGGCGAAGGCGACUCUCUGGACCGAUACUGACACUGAGACGCGAAAGCGUGGGGAGCAAACAGG